rnacentral:rRNA from 2 species
GGAGGUAGUGACAAUAAAUCACAAUGCGGAACUUCUGUUUUGCAAUUGGAUUGAGAACAACGCACAACACUUAUCGAUAAACAAUUGGAGGGCAAGUCUGGUGCCAGCAGCCGCGGUAAUUCCAGCUCCAAUAGCGUAUAUUAACGUUGUUGCAGUUAAAAAGCUCGUAGUUGAAGUGAAGUGUGAAUCUCUUGGAUUUUCGUUUGAAUUUCCUUUAGCUUCAUACUCUUUCCAAAUAGUUUGCAUGGGUAUUUACUUAUCUGUGUAUUGCAUUUGGUCAUUUACUGUGAGAAAAUUAGAGUGUUCAAAGCAUACGUUUGUUUGAAUACAUUAGCAUGGAAUAAUUCGAAAAGGCUUUCAUGUUCGAUUUGAUUGGUUUGUUCGUGAAGGCAAGAUUAAAAGGGACAGUUGGGGGUAUUCAUAUUCAAUAGUCAGAGGUGAAAUUCUCGGAUUUAUGGAAGAUGAACAAGUGCGAAAGCA